CGGCGGACGGGUGAGUAACGCGUGGGUAACCUGCCUCAUACAGGGGGAUAACAGUUAGAAAUGACUGCUAAUACCGCAUAAGACCACAGCACCGCAUGGUGCAGGGGUAAAAACUCCGGUGGUAUGAGAUGGACCCGCGUCUGAUUAGCUAGUUGGUAAGGUAACGGCUUACCAAGGCGACGAUCAGUAGCCGACCUGAGAGGGUGGCCGGCCACAUUGGGACUGAGACACGGCCCAA
rnacentral:rRNA from 1 species